rnacentral:rRNA from 1 species
CCUACGGGAGGCAGCAGCAGGGAAUCUUGGGCAAUGGGCGAAAGCCUGACCCAGCGACGCCGCGUGGAGGAAGAAGUCCUUCGGGGCGUAAACUCCUGGACUGGGGGACGAGGAAGGACGGUACCCCAGUAGAAAGGGACGGCUAACUACGUGCCAGCAGCCGCGGUAAAACGUAGGUCCCGAGCGUUGUUCGGAUUCACUGGGUGUAAAGGGCGCGUAGGUGGUUGUCUGUGUCUCAUGUGAAAACUCAGGGCUCAACUCUGAGAUUGCGUGGGAAACUAGGCAGCUAGAGGACGGUAGAGGGGAGUGGAAUUCCCGGUGUAGCGGUAAAAUGCGUAGAUAUCGGGAGGAACACCGGUGGCGAAGGCGGCUCUCUGGGCCGAUCCUGACGCUGAGGCGCGAAAGCUAGGGGAGCGAACCGGAUUAGAUACCCGGGUAGUCCUAGCCGUAAACGAUGGGUGCUAGGUGUUGGGGGGUAAAGACCCUUCAGUGCCGAAGCCAA